UUGAACGCUGGCGGCAGGCCUAACACAUGCAAGUCGAGCGGAUGAAGGGAGCUUGCUCCUGGAUUCAGCGGCGGACGGGUGAGUAAUGCCUAGGAAUCUGCCUGGUAGUGGGGGAUAACGUCCGGAAACGGGCGCUAAUACCGCAUACGUCCUGAGGGAGAAAGUGGGGGAUCUUCGGACCUCACGCUAUCAGAUGAGCCUAGGUCGGAUUAGCUAGUUGGUGGGGUAAAGGCCUACCAAGGCGACGAUCCGUAACUGGUCUGAGAGGAUGAUCAGUCACACUGGAACUGAGACACGGUCCAGACUCCUACGGGAGGCAGCAGUGGGGAAUAUUGGACAAUGGGCGAAAGCCUGAUCCAGCCAUGACGCGUGUGUGAAGAAGGUCUUCGGAUUGUAAAGCACUUUAAGUUGGGAGGAAGGGCAGUAAGUUAAUACCUUGCUGUUUUGACGUUACCAACAGAAUAAGCACCGGCUAACUUCGUG
rnacentral:rRNA from 1 species